GUAGGUGGCAAGCGUUGUCCGGAAUUAUUGGGCGUAAAGCGCGCGCAGGCGGUUCUUUAAGUCUGAUGUGAAAGCCCACGGCUCAACCGUGGAGGGUCAUUGGAAACUGGAGAACUUGAGUACAGAAGAGGAAAGCGGAAUUCCACGUGUAGCGGUGAAAUGCGUAGAGAUGUGGAGGAACACCAGUGGCGAAGGCGGCUUUCUGGUCUGUAACUGACGCUGAGGCGCGAAAGCGUGGGGAGCAAACAGGAUUAGAUACCCUGGUAGUCUACGCCGUAAACGAUGAGUGCUAAGUGUUAGGGGGGUUUUCCGCCCCCCUUAGUGCUGCAGCUAACGCAUUAAGCACUCCGCCUGGGAGUACGGCCGCAAGGCUG
rnacentral:rRNA from 1 species